rnacentral:rRNA from 1 species
UGGGGAAUAUUGGACAAUGGGGGCAACCCUGAUCCAGCAAUGCCGCGUGUGUGAAGAAGGCCUUCGGGUUGUAAAGCACUUUAGGCUGGGAGGAAGAUGUGUAGUUUAAGAGAUGACACGUUUGACAGUACCAGCAGAAUAAGCACCGGCUAACUCUGUGCCAGCAGCCGCGGUAAUACAGAGGGUGCGAGCGUUAAUCGGAGUUACUGGGCGUAAAGGGCGCGUAGGCGGAUUUAUAAGUGAGAUGUGAAAUCCCUGGGCUUAACCUAGGAACUGCAUUUUAUACUGUAAGUCUGGAGUACUGUAGAGGGUAGUGGAAUUUCCGGUGUAGCGGUGAAAUGCGUAGAGAUCGGAAGGAACACCAGUGGCGAAGGCGGCUACCUGGACAGAUACUGACGCUGAAGCGCGAGAGCGUGGGGAGCAAACAGGAUUAGAUACCCCCGUAGUCC